AACGAACGCUGGCGGCAUGCCUAACACAUGCAAGUCGAACGAGACCUUCGGGUCUAGUGGCGCACGGGUGCGUAACGCGUGGGAACCUGCCCUUAGGUUCGGAAUAACUCCCCGAAAGGGGUGCUAAUACCGGAUAAUGUCUUCGGACCAAAGAUUUAUCGCCUUUGGAUGGGCCCGCGUUGGAUUAGCUAGUUGGUAGGGUAAAAGCCUACCAAGGCGACGAUCCAUAGCUGGUCUGAGAGGAUGAUCAGCCACACUGGGACUGAGGCACGGCCCAGACUCCUACGGGAGGGAGCAGUGGGGAAUAUUGGACAAUGGGCGAAAGGCUGAUCCAGCAAUGCCGGGUGAGUGAUGAAGGCCUUAGGGUUGUAAAGCUCUUUUACCCGGGAUGAUAAUGACAGUACCGGGAGAAUAAGCUCCGGCUAACUCCGUG
rnacentral:rRNA from 1 species